CUGCCCCGUCCUGCGCAGUCCUGGGGACCUGGGAAAUGUGGACUUUGCUUCCUUGAGGAGUGGGUGUUGAAGGGAUGAGUCAGUCCUAUGGAAACUGAGACUAGAGGUUGCAACAAAGAACAGUUUCUUUGAAGUAUAUGGCUGUCCUCAUUGGAGGUGGAACAAACAGAGCACAGGCAGCCAACCAGGGUGGAGUCAAAGGUCAUGGCACUGGUUGCCCCUCCUUGCUCCCCGAUGAGCUCUUCCCUCGCCCCUUAGCCUAGUCCUGCCCAUGUUCUUCUUCUGAAACGUGUGUUCUGGCCUUGGCUCUGAGCUGCUCGUCUGUCCUGUUGACGCUGGGAGCAGGGAUGGUAGCGUCAGCUCAGUUGUCAUCCUAGGUCCCCGCCUGCUGGUGGUUGGAGUCAUGUGGUGAUGUGUGUGGCAGCUUCCUUUUCUACGAUGUGUCACAGAGUGGAAAGAUCUCAGUCUGUAGCUUUGGAUCAACCCCUUGCCCUUUAUGACAUCAUCAUCUUGGAGGAAGCCCUUCCGUCUCUGAGCCUCCCUAUCUCCGUCUUUGAAACGGGAGCGCUGACUUCUUUCUUACCCUCCCGAGUAUGAAAUAGGACAAUACUUGGUAAAUUCUCAGGAGCUAUGCAAAUUUAAUGAACUGCUGUGCUAAAUUCCACGUGACUAAUCUCUAGCUCUUUCCCUGGCUCUAAAAUGGAGUUGCAAUCAUCGUUAGCACAACCUCAUUGGGUUAUUUUGAGAAUUAAAUGAGAAAAUGCAUGUCAAGUACACACCCAGGGUCCAGCACAGGGUGAGCCUCUCACAUCUCAGCCAGUGUGAGAUGCUGCUGUUGACAUUAUUUAAUUUCAUUAUUUUACCUUACUUUGUUUUGUUCUUGGCCCUGGGUUCUGCCAAUCCCGCAUGGUGCCAUGAGUUCCUGGACAGGUGGCAUUUUCCCUCCCUCUCAUCGUAGUGUCCUGAGGACAGUGACGAAGUUCUCCCAGCCAUCUCCCUAGGCUGGCAGCACUGUUGAGACAGCGUUUAUUUUGGAACCAUCUCAGAUGUAUGGUAAAGUGACGAAGACAGGACAGAGAGCUCCCACACAGCCCUCCCUCGUCUCUGCUGUUACCAUCUUACUGGCAUGGGUGCAUUCUCAUGCAGUAAAUUCCGGACUUUAUCAGAUUUUACCAGUUCUUCCAUGAACUGUUUCAGGGCCCCAUCCAGGCUCCCACAUGUGGUUGUUGUGUCCCUAGUCUCCUGGGAUCCGUGACAGUUUCCCAGUCUCAUCUCCUUGCCCAGGACUUGGCUGUCCCCAUGCUAGCCGCCAUACAGUGUCCUACAGGCCUCACCUGCCUGUUGCUUCCUUGUGAUGAGAUGGGUUAUACGAUUCACAGCUUGCUUUAGUUUUUAUUUCCUUUUCCUCCUGCUUUAACCUGAGUGUUUCAGGGGAUGUUGUAAGGAAAAUAAGUUCAGUAAAUGAAGACAGAGGCUUCGGAGAUGGAAACUUUCUUGGAAAUAAAAAAGAUCAUACUUAACAUUAAUUCCACAGACUGUGCUUUGGACUCACUGACAGUUUCAAAAGUAAGAUGUCAGUUUCAACAGUUUACGCCCUGCGGGUCCUGUGUUGGGGAGAGUGCUAGCUAGUCCUGAUUAAAUGGUGGUCGUGAUGCUUCUGUGUUGGGAGGAAGCUUCGUCUGCUUUUACUCUGGAUCUAGUUACAGCUGAGUGUAGAUCUUUAGUAAUUUACUCUUUGAACCAAAAAUGCAUGGUGUCAGUCACAUCUGUGCAUUUUCCCCUAUGAAUAAUUUUAAUCAGAAACCCUUUUGUCUGUAGGUUGGUUGCCUUCCAGUUACUCUGGCAAAUGCCCGGGUUCGGCUGCUUUCCUACUUUCCUCCGGGUCUGGUGGAGGUUGCAGACACUGGCUACGCAUUCACAGGAUUCCAGGAAUACCUUUUUGGUUUCUUGAGAGGUGGGCCUGCUUACAGGCAGUGUGUUCCUUGCUAAGUGGUUUUUUUUUUUUUUUUUUUUUUUCCCCUACACAGCUAUUUGGAUAACAAACUGGGCAUUAGGUGUUACAUACUCUCCUUUUCCUGUUUCCUCCUCUGUGAGCCUGGCCCCAUCCAAGUCUAGACCCCGCCUGAGUAUAGGCCUUGACUGUGUUCAUCCCUGAACUGUGUGUUCUGAGCCUCAGUUUCCCCUUCUAUAAAAUGGGGCCAGUGACAGGGGCUCCUGCAGGGAGACGUGAUGGGGACUGAAUGGGUCCACGUGUGGAAAGCCCUUGGACUCGUGCUUGGAAUGAAGGAAGACAUCAGUCAGCUUCGGUUAUUAUUGCUGUUGUUAUUGUUUGGGGGAACUUAUGUGUUCAAUAAUUAUCUGUUUAAGAAAUGAAGAAAUAUGGUCUAUUUUUCCCUUGGAAAAAUAUCCUUGUGCUGAGAUGCGUAAGCCUUCUUAUUGAGGGCAAUAAGCAUUAACUCAGGCUUUCUCAGCCUUGGCACUGUGGACUUUUGGGGCCAUGUAAUUCUUUCUGGUCUGGGCUGUCCUGGGACUAGACGGGUGCGCAGCAGCAUCCCUGGCCUCUGACGGCAGAUGACUGCAGCAUCUUCCAGGUUCGACAACCAAAGUUGUCUCCAGACUUUGUCAGACAUCCCCUGGGGGGUAUAGUUGCUCCCUAAUGAGAACCACUGACGACACUAGUGUACAUGUGAAAAGAGGGAAAACAUGGAAAGAAAAUUUUUUCCCUCUUGUAUACUUUCUUCUUUUCAACUCGCCCUAUAUUCCUUCUUUGAAUAAAAACCUGACAUUUUUUUUUCAGGGAGUUUUAUGCCCGGCCCUCCAAGGCUUUGGUUGUAGAGUCUAACUUCUAGAAUAUUUCCAUUUUCUACUGUUACUACUAUGCUAGCGUAUGGCUCUUUCUCCCAGGAAAGCAAGUUUCAUUUUCUUUUUAUAGCAGACAUGUAUGUGUGUUUUAAAAGG